rnacentral:rRNA from 1 species
AGAUGAGUCUUCCCUGUCGCUUUAAGCGACCUAAAGGAACGUUUAAGACUAAGACGUUGAUAGGCUGGGUGUGUAAGCGUAGCGAUACGUUGAGCUAACCAGUACUAAUGAACCGUGAGGCUUAACCUG